UUGCAAAUGGCUGGUGUUAAACCGAUACUUUGUCUCACUAAUUCAGAGAUGAAAAUUAUGGCAUUUAAAAAUAACAAUUGAAGUCAUUCGCGAAUGCGACUAAUCAUAGCAGAAAAAUGUUGUUCCACAAUUAACAAAAAGCAUUCAACUUCGAAACUCUUUCAGAAAACUCAAGAAAACAUUGUUCUGACAAAAUGAAAUAAAGAGCAAAGAAAAAGCCAAAAACUCAGAGCCUCCUUCCUCUUCUACC
rnacentral:lncRNA from 1 species